rnacentral:rRNA from 1 species
GCAUAUCAAUAAGCGGAGGAAAAGAAACCAACAGGGAUUGCCUCAGUAACGGCGAGUGAAGCGGCAACAGCUCAAAUUUGAAAUCUGGCCUCACGGCCCGAGUUGUAAUUUGUAGAGGAUGCUUCGAGCAUGGUCUGGCCUAAGUUCCUUGGAACAGGACGUCAUAGAGGGUGAGAAUCCCGUAUGCGGCCAGGUGCCUACGCUCAUGUGAAGCUCCUUCGACGAGUCGAGUUGUUUGGGAAUGCAGCUCAAAAUGGGUGGUAAAUUUCAUCUAAAGCUAAAUAUUGGCCAGAGACCGAUAGCGCACAAGUAGAGUGAUCGAAAGAUGAAAAGCACUUUGGAAAGAGAGUUAAACAGUACGUGAAAUUGUUGAAAGGGAAGCGCUUGCAACCAGACUUGCGUGCGGCCGAUCAUCCGGUGUUCUCACCGGUGCACUCGGUCGCGCUCAGGCCAGCAUCGGUUUUGGUGGUUGGAUAAAGGCCCUAGGAAUGUAGCUUCUCUCGGGGAGUGUUAUAGCCUAGGGUGCAAUGCAGCCCACCGGGACCGAGGACCGCGCUUCGGCUAGGAUGCUGGCGUAAUGGUUGUAAGCGACCCGUCUUGAAACACGGACCAAGGAGUCUAACAUCUAUGCGAGUGUUUGGGUGUCAAACCCAUACGCGUAAUGAAAGUGAACGGAGGUGAGAACCCUUAAGGGUGCAUCAUCGACCGAUCCUGAUGUCUUCGGAUGGAUUUGAGUAAGAGCAUAGCUGUUGGGACCCGAAAGAUGGUGAACUAUGCCUGAAUAGGGUGAAGCCAGAGGAAACUCUGGUGGAGGCUCGCAGCGGUUCUGACGUGCAAAUCGAUCGUCAAAUUUGGGCAUAGGGGCGAAAGACUAAUCGAACCAUCUAGUAGCUGGUUCCUGCCGAG